GAUGAAGAACGUAGCGAAAUGCGAUAAGUAAUGUGAAUUGCAGAAUUCAGUGAAUCAUCGAAUCUUUGAACGCACAUUGCGCCCGCCAGUAUUCUGGCGGGCAUGCCUGUCCGAGCGUCAUUUCAACCCUCGAACCCCUCCGGGGGGUCGGCGUUGGGGAUCGGCCCUUUCAUCGGGUGCCGUCCCCCAAAUACAGUGGCGGUCUCGCCGCAGCCUCUCAUGCGCAGUAGUUUGCACACUCGCACCGGGAGCGCGGCGCGUCCACGUCCGUAAAACACCCCAAACUUCUGAAAUGUUGACCUCGGAUCAGGUAGGAAUACCCGCUGAACUUAAGCAUAUCAAUAAGCGGAGGA
rnacentral:misc_RNA from 1 species